rnacentral:lncRNA from 1 species
GUGAAUCAGUCCCAGCAUCACACACUAGAUCCAGGCACCUCUGAAAAAUGAGGCUCCCCACCUGUGAGCGCAUGAGGCUUUGGGGGGACAUCUAGACACAAGCCUAACAGUUGCUCAGCUGCCCAGGCUAGGACUGAAUUUGCCUCAGCUUCCCAGAGUGCUGGGAUUACAGGUGUGUGCCAGCACACGCGACUUGUGUAUCCGCUUUAACUGGCUUCUGGGGGCUGGGAGGGGCAAGGGGCUUAUCAACCCUUCAAUUCCGCCAGUCAGCAGCUUGGCGAUGGAGAGCAAGGCUGGGUUUUGGGUGAAGACAGGCUGGGGCUUCUUAGCACAGGGCGACGCGAGGCAGUGGGGGCUCAGAGCCCCUCCCUCCUUUGGUCCGUUAGGCCCCUCCCCCAGGAGCUGCUACCCACUCCAUCAGGGAGUAGGGCACACAGGGUCGCAGGUCUGGGCAUGGAGUCUCACUCUGUCCCUCACUUCCUGCGGGAUCCGGUCCGGGUUUCUGCAGGGUUUGUGCGGACCCCCAGGUAUGGGACCGAAGACGCCCUCGAUGGAGCGCCUUGGAUCCCUGCUCGGGUACUGUUUCCUGCGGUCAUAGCGCCCCGGGGUGGCGGAGGCUUCGGCGACUAGGAAUCUUGCUGCAAGGUGGGAAGGGUUUAAAGGAGUGAGGCGGGGUGGAAUCCACGGGAUGUUUAUUGCUCCGGACAGAGCAGGGCCUUUGCUUCAACUGACCCUGCCACAGACCUUAGAACACUGUGGAAGGGAUGAUUCAAGUUUUAGAAAAUCUUUACAAUAUUCCUUUGUUUAUAUACUUCCUUGAUUGCAUAGAUCCAGAAGUACGGUCCCUUUGGGAUAAGCAAUUGCUGAAUGUUCUCAGACCACUGAAUUCGUGUUGUCGUGUGUGACUUUUGAAAAGAGAAGCCAGCAUAAACUGUAUCAUUAGCACUAAAGAUAUUUUGGAUUUUUAAAAUUAAAAUAAUUUUAAAAAAUUUUUUGUUUUGUUUUUUAAGACAGAGACUCACUAUGUUGCCCAGGCUGACCUUGAACUCACUCGAUCCUCCUGCCUCACCCUGCAGAGUGCUGGUAUUACAGAUGUGCGCCAUCACAUCCAGCUCGUUUAGAAAAAGGAAAACAAUAAUAAAAAAGAGACAGCGUAGGAAAGCAUGGUGACCACUCUGACACAUAGUAGGUGCUCAUGUAAAUGAGGGUCUGUUCCUGGGGCCGCAUGACGACACUGCCAGCUCCUGCUUUGACAUUUAUGUGCGCAUUACCUCCUACUCAGAGCCCAGGUUUGAUGUAAAUCAGCUAAAUUAAAAGGAAAAUAUAUAGGCAAAGGAAGUCCUAUCAACAGACAAAAAAGGACAAACAAAAAACCUGACUGUACAAGUCUAUAAAAAUCCAUAUUACAGCAUGCUGCUCUGAACCUAUAAAUUGGAAACACGUGAAGCUGCCCCACAUGGCCUGAAGAUCUCGUCCUUCACACGGGAACAGGAAAUGCAGCCACCUCCAUCGGGCACGGGAGCCCGGAGUGGGCACUGCCAGCAGCCCGGCCACCCCCCUCCCAAAGCACAGGCAUCAGAAGGGAGCUUACCCAGCACCGACCCCAGCCCUGCCCCAUGAGGUAAAUGUCAAACAGAUGUCCUCAAAGAGUGGAAAAAUGAAAUGAAAAGCACAUUUAGGAUUUAUAGAGCUGAAAACCAAAAACCAGUGGAAAUUAGUACUCUGAGGCGUGGCUCAGCUUGCUGGUAAUGUGAGUUGGUUUUUUUCUUUAUCACCAUAGCACUUGCGAAUUUGCUUCCAGAUCCCCAGCAGUCAUAGGGAGGGUGUGGCCUUAAUUUGGUAAAGAGGUGGGACUUAGUGAGCAUCCACAGCCCUUCAGGGUCUGACAGUG